UGUGCACUUAACUGCUGCGCCACCAGCAAGGCAUUCUGGGAGUAGGAGAAAUGCUGAAUUCUGGAGAGGAAGACUUGGCUACAAACCUGUGGCCCUGGGGUGGAGCCGUCUGGCCCAGACAGAGUGAGCACUGUUCACAAGAGCUAAGACAUGGAAACAAUCCAAGUGCCUAUCGACUGAUGAUCGGAUACAGAAGAUGUGGGAUAUAUAUGAUGGAAUACUACUCAGCCAUAAAAAAAAACAAAAUCAUCCCAUUUGCAGCAAUAUGGAUGGACCUGGAGGGUAUUAUGCUAAGCAAAAUAAGCCAGACUGAGAAAGACAAACACCAUAUGAUUUCACUUAUAUGCAUAAUAUAAACAAAUACAUGGACAGAGAAAAC
rnacentral:lncRNA from 1 species